rnacentral:rRNA from 1 species
GACGAACGCUGGCGGCGUGCCUAAUACAUGCAAGUUGAGCGCUGAAGGUUGGUACUUGUACCCACUGGAUGAGCAGCGAACGGGUGAGUAACGCGUGGGGAAUCUGCCUUUGAGCGGGGGACAACAUUUGGAAACGAAUGCUAAUACCGCAUAAAAACUUUAAACACAAGUUUUAAGUUUGAAAGAUGCAAUUGCAUCACUCAAAGAUGAUCCCGCGUUGUAUUAGCUAGUUGGUGAGGUAAAGGCUCUCCAAGGCGAUGAUACAUAGCCGACCUGAGAGGGGGAUCGGCCAAACUGGGACUGAGACACGGCCCAAACUCCUACGGGGGGCAGCAGUAGGGGAUCUUCGGGAAAGGACGAAAGUCUGAACGAGCAACGCCGGGUGAGUGAAGAAGGUUUUCGGGUCGUAAAACUCUGUUGGUAGAGAAGAACGUUGGUGAGAGUGGAAAGCUCAUCAAGUGACGGUAACUACCCAGAAAGGGACGGCUAACUACGUG